rnacentral:lncRNA from 1 species
GGAGUGAUAGCGACGAGUCGGGUUCAGAUGAAGAGAUCCAAAAUGAAGCCAACUUAUGCUUCAUGGCAUAAGAGGAUGAGGUAAAUUCAGAAUCUUCUCUAGAAUUUAUAUUCAAAGAGCUACAGGAUGCCUUCUAUGAUUUGAUGAAAGCCUUUAAGAAGAUUAGCAUGAAAAACAAAGAUCUAAAAAUUAAGAAUGAGAUGCUAAUCAA